CAGGGAAUCGCCUUUCUCUAUCUCCUGCAGCAUGAGAGUCAUGCUGUUCCUGCAGUAUUGAGUUGUGGAACAGACACAACACCUGGAAAAGAGAAGAAACAGGACAGAAUGUCACACUCAGGGAUAACACAACCGUAACCAAGGAGGUGAAGGGGAGAAAGCCUUGUGGUACCAGAGAGCCAAUUGUGAAGCAUAAAUAUGAUAAACUCAGAUGCCUUCAAGAACAAGUUGGGAGAAUCUGGAAUCCCAACAUUUAUGGCUGAGGGCCAAAGACAGAGAAAUGC
rnacentral:lncRNA from 1 species